UGUAAAGUCUGAAAAUAUUUAUUUUAAUAGAAUAAGUUCAGCAUGUUUUGUUGAUAAACGUUCCAUAUAAUAUUGGCUAUUCAUUUUAUUUCUAGUGAUGUUUAAUAGGCUUUUAUUAUGAAGAAGUUUAAAAUUAUUUUACGAGAUAAACUUUUGUUGUUGUUUACAACUUUAAUUAGAGGUAACAUAGGUAUAUUGAUUUUUGGUUAGGUUGUACAGUAUCACUGUGGUCGACGGUGACCUUGACCUGAGUUUAUGCAUUGAGGCCCUAGUUGGGCACACUGUCAUUACUGCCAAUAUCAUUACCAUUAUCAUAAUU